UAUUGGAAAAAACAAAAACAAAAAACAACACCAAAAU
rnacentral:misc_RNA from 1 species